rnacentral:tRNA from 1 species
GGUCUGGUGGUGUAGUUGGUUAUCACGUCAGUCUAACACACUGAAGGCCUCCGGUCUAAGUCCGGGCUAGAUCA